UUUUUUUUUUUGUUAACCGCAUCCCAGAAGUGAACGUAAUUCGUCAAUGUUUGCGCCACGAAGUACAAAAUUCUUGAUUAAUCUUAAUAUCGAGAAUUGUGUAUGGAUGCGUGGGCGAAUAUAAUUCCGGCUGUCCUGUAUCUGGAAUGUUCGGACAAUCCAAUACGGUGUGGUGUGAAAAAGAUGAAACUCUACAGGGUCAUCCAGUGUCGAGAAGUUAUGACGUCAAUGCUUGUUUUUGUUCUUCAGAUGUCAGCAGGCAACAACACAUCUCACAAGACUGAGCAGAGAGUUUAAAAAAACAGGAGUCUGGUCAUAUAAAAUAAUGACUCCAGAAUGUUCUCCCAAAGCCAUGCAAUUAACAAAAAAAAAACAGUGAUUUGACUUUUUUCCCACAAGUGAACUAAACAGUUGGAAAAUAAAUUGUUGAAAAGGCA